rnacentral:rRNA from 1 species
GGGGAAUAUUGGACAAUGGACGAAAGUCUGAUCCAGCCAUACCGCGUGUGUGAAGAAGGCCUUCGGGUUGUAAAGCACUUUCAGUUGGGAGGAAGAUUAAGUAGUUAAUACCUGCUUAGUUUGACGUUACCUUCAGAAGAAGCACCGGCUAACUCUGUGCCAGCAGCCGCGGUAAUACAGAGGGUGCAAGCGUUAUUCGGAAUUACUGGGCGUAAAGCGCGCGUAGGCGGAUUAGUAAGUCAGUUGUGAAAGCCCUGGGCUCAACCUAGGAACUGCAUCUGAUACUGCUAGUCUAGAGUUUAGUAGAGGGAAGGGGAAUUCCAGGUGUAGCAGUGAAAUGCGUAGAUAUCUGGAGGAACAUCAGUGGCGAAGGCGCCUUCCUGGACUAAAACUGACGCUGAGGUGCGAAAGCGUGGGUAGCGAACG